rnacentral:lncRNA from 1 species
GGCGCGCGGAGGAGCCGGGAAGUGACUGGAAGUGGAGGAGCGGGCGGGGCUUGAAGGGACGCGGGUGCUCCUCGGACCCGGGAAGAGGCCGGGGACCAGCAGUUAAGAGCGCGGCUUGUGGCUUCGCUGCUUGAGUUCAGGGACCUCGGGGAAGUCACUCAAACACUCAGGGCCUGUUUCCUGCUCUAAAAUGGCAACACUAAUAGAAGCGACCUCAUAAGGGCUUUUGGUGGUUUUCAUGAGAAGUUUCUUACUACAGAGCCGGGUCUGUAGCAUUUGCUGAAUGGUGGGUGUCAAACGCAGAAGUCGGGAGAGAAGAGCAGGUCUGAGGGUGGGGACGCUAGAAACAGGAAGGUCUGUGUGUGGGGAACGUGGGGAAAUGAGAAUGCAGAGAGGCCAAAUUUGUAAUGAACGCUGAAGGAUUGGGACAAAUACAGCUAAGAAUUCUUUAGAGUCGAUUAUGUAUGUGCUUAGCAGUUCACCUGAGUUAACCGCCCAACCCAGUGUUGUAGUUGAAGUGAUCAAAUUAACUGAUCGUGGAGUGCCUCUGAUGUCCGAGACUUGAGAAAUACCCAAAAUCUUUGUAAGGCCCCACGCUUAUAAAUUUCUGGGGAGGUGAAGGGAGGCAGGUAGAAAUCUACCAGCAGUUGAUGAGCAGAGGCAGCCCCUCCCCAGUGUAUCCACAGGGUCAUACUUGGUGUUGUAAUUUUGUAUUACUUUUCUUGAAGAUAUCCACCAAAAUUAUGUAUACCUUAAGCCUCACAAAAUCUAGAUCUGUCCCUAGUAGGAACUCUAGUGUUGUGAAAAGAAUAUAGACUUUGGAGGAGUUCCCGUCGUGGCGCAGUGGUUAACGAAUCCGACUAGGAACCAUGAGGUUUCGGGUUCGAUCCCUUGCUUUGGGUUAAGGAUCCGGCGUUGCCGUGAGCUGUGGUGUAGGUCGCAGACCCGGCUCAGAUCCCUUGUUGCUGUGUGUGGCUCUGGCGUAGGCUGGCAGCUACAACUCCAAUUCCACCCCUAGCCUGGGAACCUCCAUAUGCCGUGGGAAGCGGCCCUAGAGGAGACAAAAAAAAAAAAAAAAAAAAAAAGAAUAUAGACUUUGGAAUCAGAAGGAUUGUUGCUAUAACUUAUCCCUGUUACUUUGAGCAAUUAGUUCACUGACUUAUCCUGGGCCUGUUUUCUUACCAGGUGCACUGAUAAUAUCUACCAGCCUGAGCUGUUGUGACAGUCAAAUAAGAUAGUAUUUGCAAAAGUGAUUGGUAAAACUUGAAAAGCACUCAACAAAUGUUUAUGAAUAUUAUAAUUUGUCCAUAAAUGUAUAAGAGGCAAAGAUCAAAAGCACCUCCAAGGUUCUUAGCUGAAAAAGUGGGAUGAGGUGGAGUGGGGUGAGGUGGUAAAAAUGAUGAAAUAAUACAGGUAAAAUUCUACUUUUUUGCCAGCUUUUCUUCCUGAUUAAUCCAUGAAGCACUGAAGGAGUAAACUAAAAAAGCACAAGAUCAGAAAUUUAGAGCUGAGAGGAGGUUGAAGAUCAUCUAGCAUAAGCCCCCACAUGUCACCGAAAGGGAAAUUAAGGCCCAGGGACGCUGAAACACUUUUCUGUGACCAGCCAUCUAAUAAAUGGCAUGAUCAGAAGAACUAGAUCUCCAGUCUCCAGGUUCUUACUGUCCCAAGCAAUCUUUAGGAUAAAAGCAUUUUGUCACAGGGUCUUUCAAAAUCAGAGAAGGCUCAAGUGGCUUUUGGCUUUACCACGAAAUUACCCACACACACUUUUCUUUCCUAAAGGUUAAUAGACUGUUUGCAAGCUUGUUAAUAAAUGAACAAAACUUCUGAAGAUUUUGAAAUUUCUGAGUUAUAACUUCAGAGAUUAAUAAUGGGAUGAGAAAUGCAAAUACAAAAUUUGGAAGUUCAUAACAACUAGUUACUAUUCAAGCUGAGAAAGUUACUCAACCUCUUUAUCUGGAAAAGGAGAAUAAUAAAAUUACAGUGUAUUUUCUCUGGAAUUCCACUGCAUACUUCACUCACAUUCCCUCAUUUCUGUAAGUAAAAAAUAGAAAGGUACUGUUAUCCCCAUUUCACUAAUACCAAACAAAGCAGGAAAGUAUUCUUUUAAAACAACACUUAGAGGAGUUAAUACCAAACAAAGCAGGAAAAUAUUCUUUUUGUUUGUUUGUUUGUUUGUUUUGUUUUGUUUUUGUCUUUUUGCCAUUUCUUGAACCGCUCCUGCGGCAUAUGGAGGUUCCCGGGCUAGGGGUCU